rnacentral:rRNA from 1 species
UAUGAACGCUGGCGGCGUGCCUAAUACAUGCCAGUCGAGCGAACGGACGAGAAGCUUGCUUCUCUGAUGUUAGCGGCGGACGGGUGAGUAACACGUGGAUAACCUACCUAUAAGACUGGGAUAACUUCGGGAAACCGUAGCUAAUACCGGAUAAUAUUUUGAACCGCAUGGUUCAAAAGUGAAAGACGGUCUUGCUGUCACUUAUAGAUGGAUCCGCGCUGCAUUAGCUAGUUGGUAAGGUAACGGCUUACCAAGGCAACGAUGCAUAGCCGACCUGAGAGGGUGAUCGGCCACACUGGAACUGAGACACGGUCCAGACUCCUACGGGAGGCAGCAGUAGGGAAUCUUCCGCAAUGGGCGAAAGCCUGACGGAGCAACGCCGCGUGAGUGAUGAAGGUCUUCGGAUCGUAAAACUCUGUUAUUAGGGAAGAACAUAUGUGUAAGUAACUGUGCACAUCUUGACGGUACCUAAUCAGAAAGCCACGGCUAACUACGUG